rnacentral:rRNA from 1 species
CCAAUAGCGUAUAUUAAAGUUGUUGCAGUUAAAAAGCUCGUAGUUGAAUUUUGGGUCUGGCCGGGCGGUCCGCCCUCCGGGUGAGCACUGUUCCGACGCCGGGCCUAUCCUUCUGGUGAGUCGGCAUGUCCUUUACUGGGUGUGUCGGGGAACCAGGACCAUUACCUUGAAAAAAUUAGAGUGUUCAAAGCAGGCGUAUGCUCGGAUACAUUAGCAUGGAAUAAUGAAAUAGGACGCGUGGUGCUAUUUUGUUGGUUUCUAGAACCGCCGUAAUGAUUAAUAGGGAUAGUUGGGGGCAUUAGUAUUCAAUUGUCAGAGGUGAAAUUCUUGGAUUUAUUGAAGACUAACUUCUGCGAAAGCAUUUGCCAAGGAUGUUUUCAUUAAUCAAGAACGAAAGUUAGGGGAUCGAAGACGAUCAGAUACCGUCGUAGUCUUAACCAUAAACUAUGCCGACUAGGAAUCGGGCGAUGUUAUUCUCAUGACUCGCCCGGCGCCUUAUGGGAAACCAAAGUGUUUGGUUC